CUUAGUGCUGGCGCAAUGGUAGCGCGCGAGACUUCUAAUCUCGAGGCUGUGGGUUCGAGUCCCACGUAGGG
rnacentral:tRNA from 1 species